rnacentral:misc_RNA from 1 species
AGUACGUGAGCCCAUACAUACAGAUACCCACCCACAGCGAUUGGGUCUUGUGGACACGGCGAACCCAGGCCCUCCCUCCCUCCCUCCCGCUCGUUCUGCCCCUUCCGUGGUGCAUGUGCCUGUUGGAGGCAGGCCUAAGGCAUUAACACGUUGUUUUGGGCGUCAUCUGUACGGUCGUGCUUCAUUUUUUUUCCGGUGGCAGCCGAAACUCGUCAGAAUAUGGAGGAGGAAGACUCCAUUCUGGGCCUGGUGCCCGCCUCGCUCCCCGUUCACGCGGACAGCGAGGAUUCAGUCGUCGCGAGCGGCUACGUGGGGGGUGGGCCCGGUAGUCCGGCGGCUGCAGGCGCGGACACUGAUGACGGUAGUAGCUGGACCUUCGAGCACGUCCUUCGCGCAACCAUCGCGGACGCAGAGGAGAACGACAACAACGACGCUGAGGCAGGGCGAAGUGGCGGCGACGAAGAGGACGACGGCAGCGACGUCGCUGACAACGAUGAGGAGCAGGUGGAGGAUGCGGUAGAUUUUCGCGACGGCGGCGCGCCCUCUGGUGCGGAAGGUCACGGCGGAGCGUCUGCCGGUGCAGCGGAGGGCGGCCACGCGGAUGACGUGAUGCUGCUGAGCAUCGGGGAUAAGAAGGCGGCAAAGCGGUUGGGUAAGAGGCUGUACAAGCGGUGGAAGAAACUGCACAAGGCCUCCCAGUCGAAGAAGGACAGGCACAAGAGCAGCAAGAAGGCCGGCUCUCAAAAGUCGAAGGGCAAGGAGAAGGCCUUCAAGCACAAGAAGGCAAGCGGCAGCCGCAAGAAGACGGGCACCAAGGCGCGCAGGGACGACCACGACGACGACGGUGGUGAAGGGAGCAUGUUCCUGAGCAUGGCGGACGGCGCGGAUGAUGUGGAUGGCGAGCUCGGGCUGGUGCCGGCGGCCGAUCUCUCCGACGCGGCGGCCGCCAUCGAGGCGCGUUUGAAGAAGGCUGCCCUGCGCGAGUCCAAGAUGCGGACCGAAAAGGCGGUCAAAAAGGCGGCGCAGCGCAAGACGAGUUCUGCGGAGCUCGCCGCCAUUGCCAAGGAGCUGGUCGCUGCGAUGGCGAAGGCUCGACAGCUGGACGAAGACAUCAUUAGCGGCCGCAACACCUUCCCCGGCGCCUUCCCGCUCAACCGCGUCGCUCUCAAGAGCAUUGUGCAGGCUCGGUGCCGGCAGGGGUACAUAGUGGGUCCGCUCGUCGAGGCGGGCAUCCUGCAGGAGCUGAGCUACUGGCUCUACGAUGUCGACCGCGCUGAUCCAGCGCCGUACGAGCUGCGCACAGCAGCGCUCGAUAUCCUGGUCUCUUUACCGAUGGAAGGCAGCAUUGCUGCGACGGAGGACCUCACUGCGUUCAUGGGUGUGAGCCGCGAGCACCUCAUCAAGACAGACCUAGGCCGCGCCCUGAACGCGCUUCGCCGCUACAACGAAGAGACGAUCGACAACAAGGGCAAGUGCGUGCAGCUACUGACCACUUUCAGUCGCGUGAUCAGCGGCGCGUCGGACAAGGACCAGAUGGAUGAGCACAAAAGCAAGGCUGUGUGGAAGUGCCAGCGCGACCCGACGGUGGCCUCGCCAUUUGAGGUGCUAGAGACGUGCUCAGAGGCCUUCCAGAAGUCGUUCAUGAAGCCCGACCCGCGCGACCCGACAUCUUACAACGGCGUGCUACCAUGGAGGCCGCCGGCGGCAACCAUAACGAACGUCUCAGGUAAGCUGGGCGACUACAUCGAGAAGGCCAACAUUAACCCGCGACGAUGAAACUGUGGGUAUGCGACAAGAGCCGCUACCCCUUCCCCCCUGAAGCCGUGCGGUCUCCCCCUCCUCACCCUCUGUGGUCUAUUCACUGUGGAGUUUGGACAGAGUGCGUCAGCCCCUCCUCCCCGGUCACCUUCCAGCCACUGCCGGCGCUUACCUCAUCCCCCCUCUACCUGGUGCCGCUUCAGCAUCUUGAAUGGAAUGGUGAUGUCAUCGUUGGUUUGCUGCUUUUUUUUUUCGCUGUAUUGGGCCCCUCGAGACACAGGUGGGGGGAUGAGGGGGUGGGCUUGCACAAGGUGGGUGCUGUCGCGUAUCCGAUCUCGCAUUUGCCUUCCUUUGCGUUACGCACGCGCGCUCUCGUCUGUGGGCCUGUGGGUCGCGCACCUUCGAGCAUGCCGGCAGGACGUCGGCAGUGAGCUCGAUUCUGGUUCCGCUCUCUCCUCGUCGCGGUUCGUUCGCUUGCGUUUCUCUAUUGUUCUGGUACGCGCGCUCGCUAUAUAUAUAUGUGUGUAUUUCUUCUCUUGAUUUCUCUCUGGGCACUUUCUUUCCAUGCUUGAGCGACUUGAGUGUGCCUAUGCGAGACUCACGUACAGGCGAAAGGACACGCAUAAAAGGCCUCACAGGAGGGCGUGCGGCUGCCCACGUCGUGCCGAACGAGUGGGAAGAGUGGGACGGAGAACAGAAGGGCUGAGGGAGCCGCGCGUGAUCGAGAUUGCACGGCAGUAGAAGCAGUGGAGAGGCGGGGGAGGAGAGGGGGAGAGGAAGGGAGGGAGGGGGAGCGAAGACGUCACGUCUCUCUUCCUCUCCCUUCCUUCCUUUUCCCCCCUCCUCCCCCGCCUUGCCUCGCCUCGCCACGCCCCCACUCCCUCUCUUUUUGUGUCGUCUUCUCCGUUUUCCCCUCUCCCCUUAAACAACGAUUGAGGCCGUGUUGGGGAUGACAUAUCAUAUCCCGCACUUCGCUCUCCUCCCUCUCAGCGAUGUCGUUACAUCGGAAAAC